GAUGAACGCUGGCGGCGUGCCUAACACAUGCAAGUCGAUCGGUAAGGCUCUUCGGAGUACCCGAGAGGCGGACGGCUGAGUAACGCGUAGGAACACACCCUGCAGUGAGGGAUAAGACACCGAAAGGUGUUCUAAUACCGCAUACGGUCUUCGGAUUAAAGCAUUUAUGCGCUGAAGGAGUGGCCUGCGUCAUAUUAGAUAGUUGGUGAGGUAAUGGCUCACCAAGUCGAUGAUGUGUAGCUGGUCUGAGAGGAUGAUCAGCCAGACUGGAACUGAGACACGGUCCAGACUCCUACGGGAGGCAGCAGUGAGGAAUAUUUCACAAUGAGCGAAAGCUUGAUGGAGCAAUGCCGCGUGCAGGAUGAAGGCCCUCGGGUUGUAAACUGCUUUUAUAAGAGAAGAUUAUGACGGUAACUUAUGAAUAAGGGACGGCUAACUACGUG
rnacentral:rRNA from 1 species